rnacentral:rRNA from 1 species
UACGGAGGGUGCGAACGUUGCUCGGCAUUACUGGGCGUAAAGCGCGUGUAGGCGGGACGAUAAGUCGGAAGUGAAAUCCCCGGGCUCAACCCGGGAACUGCUUUCGAAACUGCCGUCCUCGAGUACCGGAGAGAGUGGCGGAAUUCCUGGUGUAGAGGUGAAAUUCGUAGAUAUCAGGAGGAACACCGGUGGCGAAGGCGGCCACCUGGACGGUCACUGACGCUGAGACGCGAAAGCGUGGGGAGCAAACAGG